AGAUGGAGGGGAUCAAGCCUUCUGGCGAUCUAGACAAAANCAGUCCACCGUGGGCUUUGAAAAACGCUUUCCUUGAUAAAAUUUAAGCGUUUUAUAAGAGGAUGCCGGGGAAGGUUUUCCGGUUUAUCCCGGAGGGCUUGUAGCUCAGUUGGUUAGAGCGCGCGCUUGAUAAGCGUGAGGUCGGAGGUUCAAGUCCUCCCAGGCCCACCAGUUUAUCCAUUACUUUCAUAAGUGCUUUUAAAAAAUAAGUACUUCUAAAAAGAUUGCUUCUAAAAAGAUUGCUUCUAAAAAGAUUGCUUCUAAAAAGCUUAUCAAAAUUGGCAGGCUUAUUGCUUUUGUGUGAGUAAUCCAAAGUUAAAGCAAAUUAAUGGCAAAAAAACAGUUCAAAUGCUAAAUACUAAGGAGUCAAAAUUCCUUGCAAAGUGAUUUUUACAGCGUCCAUUUGGUUGAUAUAAAUUCCAAAUGCUCAUAGACGUCAAUGCCUAUAUGAAACUAUCGGUUCAAUCAUAUCGCUUUGAGUUAUAUAGAUUUUGUAAUCCCUCUUUUGAUCGUUUUAAACGCUUUAUCCUGAUUUAGGGGCCGUAGCUCAGCUGGGAGAGCACCUGCUUUGCAAGCAGGGGGUCGUCGGUCGAUACGUCAGUCCC
rnacentral:misc_RNA from 1 species